CAGCCGCCGCGGUAAUACGAAGGGGGCUAGCGUUGCUCGGAAUUACUGGGCGUAAAGGGAGCGUAGGCGGAUCGUUAAGUUGGGGGUGAAAGCCCGGGGCUCAACCUCGGAACUGCCUUCAAUACUGGCGAUCUUGAGUAUGAGAGAGGUGUGUGGAAUUCCACGUGUAGCGGUGAAAUGCGUAGAGAUGUGGAGGAACACCAGUGGCGAAGGCGACUCUCUGGUCUGUAACUGACGCUGAGGAGCGAAAGCGCGGGGAGCGAACAGGAUUAGAUACCCGCGUAGUCCCUGUCUCUUAUAC
rnacentral:rRNA from 1 species